rnacentral:misc_RNA from 1 species
GUGAGUCAUCGAAUCUUUGAACGCAUAUUGCGCUCUUUGGUAUUCCGAAGAGCAUGCUUGUUUGAGUAUCAGUAAACACCUCAAAGCUUUUGGAUUUUUUUUGAAAGCUUUGGACUUGAGCAAUCCCAACACCAAUCUUUUUCAGAUCGGCGGCGGGUUGCUUGAAAUGCAGGUGCAGCUGGACUUUCUCCUGAGCUAAAAGCAUAUUCAUUUAGUCCCGUCAAACGGAUUAUUACUUUUGCUGCAGCUAACAUAAAGGGAGUUUGACCGCAUUGGCUGACUGAUGCAGGAUUUUACAAGGGUCGGCAACGAUUCUUGUUAAACUCGAUCUCAAAUCAAGUAAGACUACCCGCUGAACUUAAGCAUAUCAAUAAGCGGAGGA